CGGGCUUGAACUGUGGCGGAACGAUUCGGAGACGAUGAGGCCCUUCGGGGCUGCCACGGAGGUGCUGCAUGGUUGUCGUCAGCUCGUGCCGUGAGGUGUCGGCUUAAGUGCCAUAACGAGCGCAACCCCUGUUUUCAGUUGCCAUCGGGUAAUGCCGGGCACUCUGGAGAUACUGCCACCGCAAGGUGUGAGGAAGGUGGGGAUGACGUCAAAUCAGCACGGCCCUUACGUCCGGGGCUACACACGUGUUACAAUGGCGCAUACAGAGAGUUGGUGGCAUGCGAGUGUCAUCUAAUCCUUAAAGUGCGUCUCAGUUCGGACUGGGGUCUGCAACCCGACCCCACGAAGCUGGAUUCGCUAGUAAUCGCGCAUCAGCCAUGGCGCGGUGAAUACGUUCCCGGGCC
rnacentral:rRNA from 1 species